rnacentral:lncRNA from 1 species
GAUGUGGGCUUGAGGAGGCGUGGCUCUGCAGCGCCUCUGGAUGCAGCAGGUGUUUCUGUGGUUACCGCUUGUUUACUCCGUAAACAGCCCAGUUCCUGAUGAACGGUCUCUCUGCCAUCACCUCCAACUUCAAGAAAAAGAGGAGGCCAGAUCCCCAGAGACUGGAAUUACAGAGAAUGAUGAACCACCAGGUGGGUGCUGGAAAUCAAACUCACGGCCUAUGUGUGAGAAACAAACGCUUUAAACCACUGAGCCAACUCACUUUAAGCCCAAAAUCUACUUUAAAACCAAAAGAACUUCUUGACAGCCUAAGCAGUUCGACAAGUCUACGCACAGAGGCAGUAGAAACAAGAGAAGAUCAAGACUGGACCGUGAAGCACCAGGAACUGACUAAGGUGCAUAAUUUACCCACCAAAGCAGAGCUGGCCUCCAGGUUCCCCAGCGCCCCCCUCAGUCCCUACCUGGCAUACCCUGCCCCCAACAGGGAACUUUCCAGCCCAGGUGCUUGUCCGCCCUCCCCCAAGAGUCUCCUCCCAAUAUAAUCCAGACAUUUAGUCUCUGCCCUUCUCUCUCUUCCUCUCCUUCUCUUCUUUCUCCUCCAAUGCUCCCUUUUGCUCCCCUACCCCCACCCCCAUGGCAAUCCCAUGGCCUCAAUCCCUGGGGUCAGUGAACCUGCCCG